rnacentral:misc_RNA from 1 species
UUUCCGUAGGUGAACCUGCGGAAGGAUCAUUAAAGAAUUGCCCCGCCUUAUCGAAGAUGGGUUCUAUUUCAAAUCGUGUUUACAUAUCUUUGUUGCUUUGGCGGGACGCAGCUUCGGAGUCGGGUCCGGCUGACUCCGCCCACCAGAGGACCAGAAUUCUUUUGUUUAGCAAUGUAUGAGUAUUAAUAAUUAGAUAAAACUUUAAACAAUGUAUCUCUUGGUUCUGGCAUGGAGGACGAACGAAACAGAACGGAAGAACACACGACUGAACUUCAGCAC